rnacentral:rRNA from 1 species
GACGAACGCUGGCGGCGUGCUUAACACAUGCAAGUCGAACGAAGUGGCGAACGGGUGAGUAACGCGUAAUCAAACUGCCCUUCAGAGGGGGACAACAGUUGGAACCGACUGCUAAUACCGCAUACUGAAGGAGGGGAUUGCGUCUGAUUAGCUAGGUGGAGGGGUAACGGCCCACCAAGUCGAUGAUCAGUAGCCGGUCUUAUAGGAUGAACGGCCACAUGGGGAGUGAGACACGGCCCAGACUCCUACGGGAGGCAGCAGUGGGUAUUCUUCCGCAAUGGACGAAAGUCUGACGGAGCAACGCCGCGUGAGUGAUGACGGCCUUCGGGUUGUAAAGCUCUGUUAAUCGGGACGCGGUACCGGAAUAGAAAGCCACGGCUAACUACGUGCCAGCAGCCGCGGUAAUAC